AGCGAACGCUGGCGGCAGGCCUAACACAUGCAAGUCGAACGAACUCUUCGGAGUUAGUGGCGGACGGGUGAGUAACACGUGGGAACGUGCCUUUUGGUUCGGUAUCACUCAGGGAAACUUGUGCUCAUACCGCAUGUGCCCUUCGGGGGUAAGAUUUAUCGCCAUUAGAGCGGCCCGCGUCUGAUUCGCUAGUUGGUGAGGUACCGGCUAACCAUGGCGACGAUCAGUAGCUGGUCUGAGAGGAUGACCAGCCACGCUGGGACUGAGACACGGCCCAGACUCCGACGGGAGGCAGCAGUGGGGAAUAUUGCGCAAUGGGCGCAAGCCUGACGCAGCCAUGCCGCGUGAAUGAUGAAGGUCUUAGGAUUGUAAAAUUCUUUCACCGGGGACGAUAAUGACGGUAACCGGAGAAGAAGCCCCGGCUAACUUCGUG
rnacentral:rRNA from 1 species